UUACUCUUCAUCCCUCUCCAAAUCAGACGCUCCGAGUUCGAAAUCGGGAAGUGUAAACGACUACAACCAGGUAAAAAAAGGGAGUGCGCUUAGAGCUCGCCUCGAUGGCCAUGGCCAUGGUUUUGAAGCAUAUUCUAUCGAACAGAAACACGUUCUCAGUGCCACGGUUAGUUCCUGGAUUCCCAAGAUUCUUCUCUAAAUCCAACCAAUACUUAGUUAAGGUUGGGAUUCCAGAGUUCCUGAACGGGGUAGGGAGAGGAGUAGAAACCCACGUACCGAAGCUUGAAGCGGAGAUCGGUAACUUUCAGAAGCUGCUCGUCACCCGCACUCUCAAGCUCAAGAAACUAGGCAUCCCGUGCAAGCACAGGAAGUUGAUCUUGAAAUACACCCACAAGUAUAGGUUGGGACUCUGGAGGCCUCGAGCAGAACCUGUGAAAUCUUCUUGAGCAACCAAACCAUGGAGAACCUUGGCAUUGCUUAUGUGGUUCGACAGAGGAUGACAGAAUCGUUAUGGUUUCGCAUUAGGGCAUCUGCAGAAAAAGAGGUUGAGAAUUAGAAACAAGAGCAAGUUCAUAGUGGAUGGGCCUUUGGUAUAAUGGUGGUAUAGCGCUCGCUCUGUUCCUGUUCCAUAUUAUAAUAUUACAUUGCCGAGGUUUCAGUUUUCAUGAUACAAGGUGAGGCGGCAUGGAAUUAUAUGCUCUAAUUUGACAACAGACAACUUGUAGCCCGUUUUUUAAA